AGAGAGAGAGAGAGAGAGGCGCUCCUCAGUACUGCAGGCUGUGCUCAGUAGUCUGCAGCAGCAGCCGUCAGUGUUCUGGAGGAGAGACACACACGAGGAGCGGUGGAGUAGACGGAAAGACGGAUUUCGUGAAUUUCAGUGAGCUGCUGGAUUAUCGUAUUGUAUGCGGGAGGGUUUCCGGUGUUUGAGGAGGAAUACUGAUGACGAGCUCUUGCGUCCCACUUUUCUUCUGGGAUUCCAGAUGAGACGUUCCGUUGAACAAACGGCUGACCGAACCAGUGUUCUGGCUACUGGCUGUGAGGAUAUAAGACACCAGAGAAGACGUCAGUCUGGAACCACCAGCGUCUCAGGACGUGUUACUGAUGUUCUUCGUUCUCCAGCUCCCAGCAUGCUGGGCCGCUGAGGGUUGGUUUAACUGAAUCAGAGUGUCGAUAAACGGACACUAGGAGGGGCGUGGGAGACACCAAAAGGAGAUCAGAGAUCUUUUAAAGGAAUGAAGAGCUGUUUCAUGAUCUGGUAGAAACCCUUAACGCUAUGAUGGACAGUGAGGUGUUUACUCCUCUCCUGGAGGACUUCAUGCUCACGCCUCUGGUUUCUUGGGUGAAGACUGUGAUCCAUCAGACGACAAGCGAUGGAUCCAAACUAUCGGAAUAUAUUGCAUUGGUGGAUGGGAUAUACCUGAACGAGAUUAUGCUUGAGAUAAAUCCCAUGGCGACCGUGCAGAGGACCAACAAGAAAGUAAACAAUGAUCCAUCACUGCGCAUUCAGAACCUCUCUAUUCUCAUCGGGCAGAUCAAAGCCUACUAUCAGGAGAGUCUCCAGCAGCUGGUGAUGAUGCCUCUACCCAAUGUGUUGGUCAUCGGCCGCAACCCCCUCUCUGAGCAAGGUCUGGAAGAGGUGCAGAAGCUGUUACUGUUGCUGCUGGGGUGUGCUGUUCAGUGUGAGAGGAAGGAGGAGUACAUUGAGCGCAUUCAGACUCUGGACUUUGACACCAAAGCAGCUAUUGCGGCCCACAUCCAAGAGGUGACACACAACCAGGAGAAGGUGGUGGACCUACAGUGGCUGGAGGGAGGGGAGCUGCCCACCGAGGAUCUGGACGGCCUGACCCGGAGCCUGGCCUUCCACCUCAAGCGCCUGGUCGACGAGCGGGACACGCAGUUCGAGACCAUCGUGGAUCUGACCCAGGAGCGGGACUUUGUGCAGCUGUCCCCCCUGGUGCCCGGUCCCGGCAUGUCCCCGGGGGGGGACUCUCCCAGCAUGAGGCGGACGGAGAGCCGGCAGCACCUCUCUGUUGAGCUGGCCGACGCCAAGGCCAAGAUCCGCCGCCUGCGCCAGGAGUUGGAGGAGAAGAGUGAGCAGCUAAUGGACACGAGACAGGAGCUCGACAACAUGGAAACAGAGCUCAAGAGGCUUCAGCAGGAGAGCUACCAGCUGCUGUCAGACGCCCGGUCGGCGCGGGCGUACCGGGACGAGCUGGACGCGCUGCGGGAGAAAGCCGUCCGAGUGGACAAGCUGGAGAGUGAGGUGGUCCGCUACAAGGAGCGGCUACACGACAUCGACUUCUACAAGGCCCGCGUUGAGGAGCUGAAGGAGGACAACCAGGUUCUGCUGGAGACCAAGACAAUGCUGGAGGAGCAGCUGGAGGGCAACCGCUCGCGCUCAGACAAGCUGCACCUCCUGGAGAAGGAGAGUCUGCAGCUCAAGUCAAAGAUCCACGACCUGGAGACGGAGCGGGACAUGGACCGUAAGCGGGUGGAGGAGCUGCUGGAAGAGAACCUGGUUCUGGAGAUGGCCCAGAAGCAGAGCAUGGAUGAGUCCCUGCACCUGGGCUGGGAGCUGGAGCAGCUGUCAAAGACCCCAGACCCCAUGGAGGCUCCUCAGAAGUCUCUGGGCGAGGAGGUGAACGAGCAGACCUCCAGCCGGCUGCUGAAGCUUGAGAAGGACAACCAGAGCCUGCAGAAGACGGUGGAGGAGCUGAGAGGAGCAGCGGGCCAGGAGGCCUCUGGCCGGCUGCUCAGAGCCACCCAGGAGAAGGACUCGAUGGCUCACAAGCUGGAGCAGUUGAAGAGUGAGUUGGCUGCAGACAGAGAGACCCUCCUCAGCUCGGAGUCCCUCAGCACCGACCUGAUGAAGGAGAAGGCUCUCCUGGAGAAGACCCUAGAGACCCUCCGAGAGAACUCAGAAACACAGCUGAAGGGCAUGGAGCAGGAGAACCAGCACCUGGGCCAGAUGCUGAGUGCCCUGCGGCAGCGCUGCCAGGUUGGGGCCGAGGCCCGCGCAAAGGACGUGGAGACGGAGAACCGGACGCUCCACGAGUCCAUCUGUGAGACCAGCGCAAAGCUCAACAAGAUCGAGUCUGAGAGGAAGCAGCUGCGGAAAGAGCUGGAGUUGGUGAAGGAGAAAGGGGAGAGGGUGGAGGAGGUGGAGUUUCAGCUGCAGAAGCUGGAGAGGGCGAAUGAGAGCCUGCAGAAGAAAGUGACCGGUCUGAGCAACACCUGUGAAAAGGUGUCCUCCCUGGAGAAGGAGAACGGAGAGCUGGAGGCGGAGGGCCGGCGGCUGAGGAAGAAGCUGGACGGCCUGAGCAGCAUGGCCUUCCAGCUGGAGGCGGCAGAGCAGGAAAGCCUCCAGCUGGAGCAGGAGAACCUGGAGCUGCGGCGUUCCGGGGCCAGGGCCGCCCAGCUGGAGGUGGAGAACCGGGAGCUGGAGAGCGAGCGCAGCCAGAUGAAGCGCAGCCUGGAGAUGCUCAAGGCUUCGUCCAAGAAGACUGAGAGGCUGGAGGUGAGCUACCAGGGCCUGGACACAGAGAACCAGCGGCUGCAGAAGGCCAUGGAAAACAGCAGCAAGAAGAUCCAGCAGCUGGAGGCGGAGUUGCAGGAGGUGGAGACAGAGAACCAGACGCUGCAGCGCAGCCUAGAGGAGCUCAAAAUCUCCGGCAAACGCCUGGAGCAGCUGGAGCAGGAGAACAAGAGUCUUGAGCAGGAGAGCUCUCAGCUGGAGAAGGACAAGAAACACCUUGAGAAGGAGAUCAAGCGGCUCCGGCAGCAGGCGGAGAUCCGCGACAGCAAGCUCGACGACAGCAGCCAAAGGCUUACCUGCCUGGAGAAGGAGAACCGCUCCAUGGGCAAGGAGAUGAUCUUCUUUAGGGAUUCGUGCACGCGGGUCCGGGACCUUGAGAAGGAGAACAAGGAGCUGGUCAAGCAGUCGUCCAUCGAUAAGAGGACCCUGGUAACGCUCCGAGAGGAGCUGGUUAGCGAGAAGCUUCGGACCCAGCAGAUGAAUAACGAUCUUGAGAAGCUGACUCAUGAGCUGGAGAAGAUUGGCCUGAACAAAGAGAGGCUCCUGCACGACGAGCAGAGCUCUGACGACAGGUUCAGGCUGCUAGAGUCCAGGCUGGAGACGACUCUGAAUUCCUCUCUGGAGAUCAAGGAAGAGAAGAUCGCUGCCCUAGAGGCCAGACUGCAGGAGUCUUCCAACCUCAACCAGCAGCUGCGACAGGAGCUGAAGACGGUAAAGAAGAACUACGAGGCCCUGCGCCAGCGGGAGGAGGAGGAGCGAAUGACAGUGCAGAACUCGCCCCCCCGAGGAGGGGAAGAGGCACAGAGCGCCAGCAGGUGGGAGAAGGAGAGCCACGACGCCACCCGAGAGCUGCUCAAGGUCAAAGACCGCCUCAUCGAGAUCGAGAGGAACAAUGCGACACUGCAGGCUGAGAAGGCGGCGUUGAGGAGCCAACUGAAGCAGUUGGACACCCAGAGCAGUAACCUUCAGGCUCAGAUCGUUGCGGUGCAGAGGCAGACAGCCUCGCUACAGGAGAACAACACGGCGCUGCAGACACAGAACGCCAAGCUACAGGUGGAGAACUCCACCCUGGGCUCCCGGGGCGCGGCCCUCCUAGCCCAGAACUCCCAGCUGCAGGGGCAGCAGAGCAGCGUGGAGGGGGAGCGGGAGGGCGCACUGCGGGACAGGGAGGAGCUGCGCUGCGCUCACGAGCUACUGCUGCGGGACCACGACAAGCUGGCCGCGCUGCACGAGAGGCAGGCCGCCGAGUACGAGGCCCUGAUCACCAAGCACGGGGCCCUGAAGGGCCACCACAAGGGCCUGGAGGCGCAGCACCGCGAGCUGGAGGACAGGUAUAAGCAGUAUAUGCAGCGUAAGGGGGAGCUGGAGGAGCUGGAGAAGACUCUGAAGGAGAAGCAGGAGAAGAUGGCUUCGGAGAACCAGUCCCACCAGGACAUGGCCAGCCAGUUCAAACUCCUCAAGGAGGAGAACGACAGGCUGAACACGACGUAUCGCCAGCUGUUCAGGGAGAACGAGACGCUCACAAUGGACCACAAGAGCACCAAGAGCCAGCUGAACAGCAGCAAGCUGGAGCACGCCCGCCUCGAGGCAGAGUUCUCCAGGCUCAGGGAGCAACAUCAGCAGCUGGACAUCAGCUCCACCAAACUCACAAACCAGUGUGAGUUAUUGGGCCAGCUGAAGGACAACCUGGAAGAGGAGAACCGCCACCUCUUGGACCAGAUCCACACCCUGAUGCUGCAGAACCGCACCCUGCUGGAGCAGACCAUGGAGAGCAAAGACCUCUUCCACGUGGAGCAGAGACAGUACAUAGAUAAGCUAAACGAGCUGAGGAGGCAGAAGGAGAAGCUGGAGGAGAAGAUCAUGGAUCAGUACAAGUUCUACGACCCCUCACCCCCCCGCAGUAGGCGUGGCAACUGGAUCACUCUGAAGAUGCGCAAGCUGAUCAAGCCCAAGAGCCAGCGCGAGCGAAUGCGCACACUGGCCCUGACGCCUUCGCGCUCCGAGUACGGCCCCGACGGCUUCCUGCCGCCCGACAGCCAGGACAGCUCGUCCAUCGGCUCGGGCUCCAACUCCCUGGACGACACACUGGCCCCGGCCCUGCAUCGCCGCAGCAGCAAAGGGAGGAGAGGUCUUCAGGGCCAGACCCAAGGGCUGGGGCAGGGUGCGACUAAUGCUUUGAAAAGGUUGCCUUUCAUGAGGAACCGCUCCAAGGACAAAGACAAGGCCAAGGCUGUCUACCGGCGCUCCAUGUCCAUGAACGACCUGCUGCAGACCAUGGCGGUGGCCGGGGGGCCCGGGGGCCAGUGGACUUGUAGCAGUGAGUACCUGGAGGGCCCGGAGCACGCAGGGGAUGCCGACACGCCCUCCGCUAACGGGCGUGGACGGCAGCGCAUGAAGGAGUUGGCUUUCUCCACCGACGCCAUCGACUGCGCAACGCUGAGCCUGCCCAUCAACGGCAGAGUCAAGCAGCGGCUACGGGCCACAGACAUGGCCUCCACUGAGGACAUGCUGGGUGCCACAGAUGAAGCGAGAGCGGGACCAGGGCUCACUCUCAAACAGGCUGUGGACCGAACAGGUCUCCCCGGCGCGCUGAACGGUUGCCUGAGCCGCCCGCACAGCGAGAGCAGCGGGGAGUUCAGCCUGAGUCUGGACCAGGAGGUGUGGUCAAGCAGCGGCAGCAGCCCCACCCAGCAACACCCCGCCCGCACCUCCCACCAGAGCCCCUUGCAGCCGUGCCGGGCCCUGGAUCCCAUUAGCCCUGCCCAGGGCCCCGCCCGCAAUACCCUCACCCACGACGUCCUCUCCCUGCAGCAGUUCUUGGACGAGGGCAUUGAACCUGCCGAGUCGGGCAGCCAGGAGAACCUGACCAAGGACUCCGCCCGCCUCUCCACCUCCUCGGAGACCCCUGGCUCGACGGAGCGCCCCCCCGCCGCCACCAAGACACGGGGUAUCCUGCGCUCGGCCAGCAGCAAGGCGUCGGAGCGCCCGCUCCGGUCGGGGGGGCAGGCGCCGGGACGUCCCACGUUGCGCAAGACGGAGAGCACCCGCGUGAGGGGCACAGCGGCGCCCCGGCCCGUCCUGGCUGCGCAGGGCCGCACCGCCUCCAUCUCAGACAGCCUGGACGCGCCGCCACCAGCCGCGCUGCCGCGGGCCAGCAGUGUCAUCAGCACGGCGGAGGGCAGCACGCGCCGCACCAGCAUCCACGACAUGCUCUCAAAGGACAGCCGGCAGCCCGUGUCGGUGGACGUUGGCCUGCCCCCCGCCGGCCUGCCCCCAGCCGGGAUGCGGCCCCAGCUUCCCCCCAGUGAGUAUCCCCUCCUCAACGGCCCCCCGCCCCUCCCUGCCCUGCCCAAGUCACUGAGCCUGCCCUGCUCUCGGAACCCUGAAGAGCCCGACCUCACCACGCUGGAGGCCUUUCUGGGCCCCUCCUUCACUGUGGAGUCCGUCUUUAGGGACUCCAUCUUUAGUCAGGACAAGAGCCUUCCGUUCCUGUCCCUCAACCCCAGCCUAGUGAGUAAUAUCAGUGGACCCCCGCCCCGUCCCAACCCCCCCGGCGACCCCACCCAGCCUCAGGUUGCCCACAGCCAAUCAAAGGAAGAUUAUGACGAGGGAGUCGGCCCCGAUCACGUGAUUGAUCCCGACCCGGCCCUUAGUGCCGAGGACAAGUCCCUGUGGUAUGAGUAUGGGUGUGUGUGAGGGAAACCAAAACUAUCCAAUCAGGAAAGGACUUUUCUUAAUGCAUGUAUUGAUUUAGUUUCUCAUUGGUUUGCAAUGGUGCUGUUGGGGAAAUCAAUAUUUGUUUUUCUCACCCUCUCCACCUGCGAUUGUCCUAUAGUUGCUUUACAAUCUCCUUUCUUGUUGGGUCUCCGAGCUGGAAAACAUUAACUACAUGUGGGUAGUUAAUGAGAUUAGGCCAGUGAUUCCCCUGGGGUGGCCGAAGGCCCAACACACAAAGCAUCAGUGGUCUUCCAUAUUUGCAUACACAUUUUUAUAAACCUCUAAACAAUAGGCGAAUUAGAAGGUACAUUUCACAAUUAAAAUGCUAAAUGAAAUUAGUGAAUCCCACCAGCUCUACAACAGCAGAUCAGAGCUCAGGUGUGGAUGUAACCCAUAGACUGUAUAUAAAACUGGUUCAACAGACUUCACAUAGACUGUGUGUAAUGCAGAUGAAACUGACUUUCCACACGUUUACAUGGAAAGUAUCGCGUGGAAUCGCGUGCAUUACGUGGAAAGUAUCGCGUGACUAUUCUCACACCUAAAUAACCCUCCCAAACCAAUCCACCGGUACUGGUUUGAGAUGUAGAGUGUGUGUUGGAUUCUUUUUGGGCCUUGCGCCCAGAACUUUACAAUUUUUGGGGAAACACUGAGUGGUUCAUCAUGAUACUAGUCUAGCUUUUCAUUACCCAUAUAGUAAUGGGGCAGUCUGACAGAACAACAUGUUGGGCAGAAACCGUUUUGGCCCUUGCCAAAAUAGAUUGUAUUAAGGAUGCAGGCUAGGAUUCCCUGGGAUUCUACUGACUCCAUUUCACUUGACAUUAUUGAUAAAUGUAAAAAAUUUGAAACACUAACAUUUACAAUGUGGCCGAACAGCAACAGACAUUAGUAGAAAUAUAUCCACUUCCUCCUUUAUAAUUUUUGGUGUUAUCUUUUUAAUUUUUGGUAUAUGUGGUCUUUGCAUUAGCUUCUUCAUGGCUUUGGCUCCUACUGUAAACUGCUCUUUUUGAUUUUAGUCAUCAAAAUGCUAAUUGGUGGCUAUUGGAUGUUUUCUUUCAAAUGCUUGUUUUUCAUUUUCCUUUCAAUGUAUUUGACUAAAACUAAGGUUGGUUUCUUAUGUUCUGGUGGAUAUGCCCAAUAAUUAUUUAUCCCCAAAAUGGUUUGGUCUGUGAUGUUGAAACCGGAGCUCAGCCAAAAGAUGUCUGAUCUGAAGCGUCACGAUUAGGCAGUGAAAGAUGCACUAAAGCAAAGUACAAAUGUUUCCUCACAAGGUUGUUUAUUUUGUCAAUGAAGAAAACAAAUGGUUCAGUAUUGCAUUGUCCGUCAUUAAGUUAUAUUCAACACAGAGCAAUGCUUCACGCUUUAGUGCUGCACAUGAGUUUUUUUUUUUUUUUGUUAUUUGCUUAUUAUUUAUUUCAGUCUUGUUCUUUUUAAAGGCUUUAUUCUACUGCAGUAGCCAUGUGUGUUGUUGUAAAGCCCUGAAUUCUCGGCGCUGUGUCCAGGUGUAAUGAGCAUUGCCCUUUGUCCUACAGAUGUGGAGGAGGUCUAGAGGGAGCGGGGAGGAGCUAGAGCUCCACAGCAGUGUGCUCAGGGAGCAGUGUGACCUCGGAGCACGUGUCUGACCGUCAGACUGCGGACCGCUUCUACAGGGAGAAGGGAUGUAAAAAAGAAUAACUAAACGCUUGGAUUCCUUAGUGUCUUGUUUUCCUUGAAUCAAGGAAAACAAAAGAAAGGAAAAGGCCCCAUAGCAAGAGGACAAAUUGCUGUAAGGAAACCCUUUGACUAAUUGCACUGCCGCUUGGUCCGUUUGUGAGGGAAAGGUGUGCACAGGUCUCACUAGAGGAAGAGUGACACAGUGCCAAUUUAUAGCCAUAGCUACACUUCUUUAUCAGGCCUGCGUCUGAUACAGCAACACCCAAUGGACCUUAUAUGACCUCUGCAUUUACAUGUAUAUCAGACAUAAAAAAAUAAAGUUGUUUUUCUGUACAAUCUGCAUGCCAUAGCAAAAUAAUUUUCCAGCCCAAAGCUUGGGCUGAAAUGGAAGACCCAGCCAUGCUUGUGGAUAACCAAACAAGCAUGCCAAGAACACAACACACAGACUGGCUAGUUGCAGUUUGCAUGGAGGACACAAUCAGCUAAUCUCUAUUCUGCCCUUAUCCACACAAAACACUUGUGUUUUAAGCGGUAACAAAUGACUCGAUUGGGAAGUCGAGCAUCUCAUUUGCCCCACUCCACUGCCAAUCCUGGGUUGAUCUGGAUGAUCUAGGCCAAAGGGACUCUUAAUGGGGGUUCAAUUGUCAUGGAGGACCGCUGCAUUGGACUCUGAUUGGACACGAGAAACAGGUGUGAGAUGAAGAAUCAAAAGCACAAAGGAAUCCCAAAAUCCAUUUGAUGUGGAGCUGUGUGCAGUCUGAAGGAGGGUGACAGAUGGACUGGAUGAUAGUUUGAACCCCUCAGUGUACUGUAAGGCUGAGCAACGCUCUGUUGAAUAGAAAUAGGGGGGGGAUGAAAAUGACCCAGUGCCUCCACCAUUUUGCUGCCAUUUGUUGUGAUUAAACUCAUCAAGAAUCUGGCGUGUGUGAAGCCUAUAACCUUUCUGUUUGACUCUUUUUCUAUUUUUUUUAAUGAAGUUGAAUGUUAGCCGUGGGUUUUAGAUACCCAAGGGGGCUCAGUUCAAUAUCUAGACUGGGGAGACGUUCUCAAAGAACAAACAAAAUAAUGAUCACUGUAUCGUUUUAUUUUAUUUUGCAUAUAAUACAUGUACAAAUACGUUCCGAGUAAAGUCUCAAUAAAAGAUUUACGGAUCUCACUAAACACAA